CCAAAAAUGACAUUGCUGAACAGGCAAGCCCACAUAAAUAGUUGGAUCUAUACUUCGUCUCCCUCUCACUAACCCAGUGCGCCAUGCAGGCCUUUCUGCUUUCCGUAGUUUAACCCCCCCAUAUACUACCAAAUAUGUUCUCAUUUAUCUGUGCUACUGCUGUAGCCACUUCCUGGUUACUUUAUCUAGCUAGCAAUUAUUUUAUGUGAAAGGGGAUGAGGUUUUCUGAAGAGGAAAAUCUUCCCAUUGAAACUGGAUGAGAAAUUCAGACAAAAUGAGCUGGAUGCCCUUCAAGAUUGGACAAACCAAAAAGCAGAUUGUUUCCAAAACGGUUGAAAGAGACUUUGAAUGAGAAUAUAACAAGCUCCAAAAUGCAGCAAAAACCCUCAUUGCAGAUGAACCCGGAGUUGACAGACUAGAAAACAUAACGAGUGCUAUUUUAAGUGUAAGUUUUCCAUUGAUUUUUAGAGGUGAACACACAUGCCUGUUCUCAACAUUUUACCUUGAAAUAAUUAUUUUCAUGGGAAAUACCAUGUUAGAAUCUUUCACCUCUCUCUUCUGACCCAAUGCUGAAGUGAGUUAGGUUACACAAUA
rnacentral:lncRNA from 1 species